rnacentral:lncRNA from 1 species
AACCAAAUCAAUCUCAUGUCUCGCUAUCUAACUUCUUGGAUCCCUCUUCUUCUUCCACUUUGAUUUCGAAUUUUGUUGUUACCAAAUUAUGGGUUCUUCUUCGAUUUCGAAUUGCAAAAAUCAAAGCGCACAUACAAUUUCUUAGCUUGCGUUUUUUGCCAAACCCCAGUAUAUCCUCCUUCAAAUUGAAUAGUUUGUAUCAGCG